rnacentral:rRNA from 1 species
CAGUUAGUUGGCGGGGUAAUGGCCCACCAAGACGAUGAUCGGUAUCCGGCCUGAGAGGGCGCACGGACACACUGGAACUGAAACACGGUCCAGACUCCUACGGGAGGCAGCAGUGGGGAAUUUUGCGCAAUGGGGGAAACCCUGACGCAGCAACGCCGCGUGGAGGAUGAAAUAUCUUGGUAUGUAAACUCCUUUCGAUGGGGAAGAUUAUGACGGUACCCAUAGAAGAAGCCCCGGCUAACUUCGUGCCAGCAGCCGCGGUAAUACGAGGGGGGCAAGCGUUGUUCGGAUUUAUUGGGCGUAAAGGGUGCGUAGGCGGUUUGGCAAGUCCGAUGUGAAAUCUAUGGGCUCAACCCAUAGUCUGCAUCAGAAACUGCCGGGCUUGAGUAUGGGAGAGGUGAGUGGAAUUUCCGGUGUAGC